UUAGUCACUACUAUCAUUCUUACAUUACAACCAGAUCAGAGCAUGCAGAGGGAUAUUCUCACUUUAUCAGACAACUAGAUUCAAAUGCUCUCAUAAUAUUUGUUCCUUAUAGAAAGUACUAAGUUGCCAUUCUUAUCGCGAUUUUGGAAACUCUACAUUAUAGGACAAAAUAAGGACCUCGUGAGCAUAUCUGUGGGAAGAAAACCUCACUCCUAGGAAUCUAGAGGAUUUACACCGAAAAUGCUUGCAUCAAUUAUAGCCACAAGACUAUCUCCAGUGUUUAGUAUAUGUGAAGGUGUUCUACAGAAUGGAGUAUACCCUAGAUUGGUAUCACAACAUAAUGCCAUGGGUGAUUCGUGUCGACGUUCAUUGACCUCAUCGAACCAAGCUAGUCUUUCGAUCAAAAACACACAGCAGAAGAAAGACAACAAAUCGAGACCAAGAUAUGCUGAGGACAGGACAUCAACAGUGGACACAGUGAUAGAUCCAGCAGAAGCAACGGGUAUCGUACUUCGAUCAUCGACAGUGAACGAUUGUCAAGCGAUACAUCGGUUUCUUGUGGCCCAUGCUGAGUGGGAAGGAUGCUUAGAUAUGAUCAAAAUAACUGAGCAAGAUUUAAUUAGGGAUGGCUUCGGGGAUAGGCCUGUCUUCCAUUGUGAUGUAGCUGAAGCCCAUGGCGGUGAUGACCAGACGUCUCUAAUUGGAUAUGGACUCUACUCAUUUCAUUUUUGUGCGUGGGAAGGACGAACAGCAUUAUGGGAAAACAUUUUCAUCCAUCCUUUAU